AACGACUCUCGGCAACGGAUAUCUCGGCUCUCGCAUCGAUGAAGAACGUAGCGAAAUGCGAUACUUGGUGUGAAUUGCAGAAUCCCGCGAAUCAUCGAGUCUUUGAACGCAAGUUGCGCCCGAAGCCAUCUGGUCGAGGGCACGUCUGCCUGGGUGUCACGCA
rnacentral:rRNA from 1 species